AUGUAUGUAUGUAUGUAUUUAUUUAUUUAUUUAUUUAUUUAUUUAUUUAUUUAUUUAUUUAUUAUUUAUCAGAGACGGAGAGACGGAGAAGCAGGUUCCAUCCAGAGCGCCUGACCUGGGACUCUGAGCCCGCGUCUCCAGAACCACGCCCUGGGCUGAAGGCGGAGCUCGACCCCCGAGCGGCCGGGCCGUUGCCCCGAGUUUGUCUUUGUUUACACAGACGGAGACGGAGAAGCAGGCUCCAUCCAGAGCGCCUGACCUGGGACUCUGAGCCCGCGUCUCCAGGACCACGCCCUGGGCUGAAGGCGGAGCUCGACCCCCGAGCGGCCGGGCCGUUGCCGCAAGUUUACCUUUUUUUUCCUUCUCUUUUUUUGGAAGAGGGCUGAGAGGGAGGCAACCACGGACAAAGCCUGUUUUCCAGGACGAAACCGAGAUGAAGGAACAGGCGGAGGUGGAGGCGGAAGGCUGGAAGGUUGACGGAUAAGAGAAAGGAAAAGAGGGACGGACGCCUGGGUGGCUCAGUGGUUGGGCGGCUGCCUUCCUCUCGGGGCUGGAUGCGGGGCGGGGGUUGGGGAGGUGGAAGGGGUACCCUGG